GGUGUGAUGACUGUGCUCAUUCCUAGGAAUACGACAAUCCCAACUAAGAAGGAGCAGGUUUUCUCUACCUACUCGGACAAUCAACCUGGUGUGUUGAUCCAGGUCUUUGAGGGUGAGAGGGCAAGAACCCGUGACAACAAUCUGCUUGGCAAGUUUGAGCUUUCCGGCAUUCCUCCAGCACCAAGGGGAGUACCUCAGAUCACUGUCUGUUUUGACAUUGAUGCCAAUGGCAUUCUCAAUGUAUCUGCCGAGGACAAGACUACAGGCCAGAAGAACAAGAUUACUAUCACUAAUGACAAGGGAAGACUGUCCAAGGAGGAGAUUGAGAAGAUGGUGCAAGAAGCGGAGAAAUACAAGUCAGAGGAUGAGGAGGUCAAGAAGAAGGUGGAGUCCAAGAAUGCCCUGGAGAACUAUGCUUAUAACAUGAGGAACACCAUCAAGGAUGAGAAGAUUGCUUCCAAGCUUGACGCAGGGGACAAGAAGAAGAUUGAAGAUGCAAUCGAGCAGGCUAUUCAAUGGCUAGAUGGCAAUCAGCUUGCCGAGGCUGAAGAGUAUGAUGACAAGGUGAAGGAGCUUGAAGGCAUUUGCAAUCCCAUCAUUGCAAAGAUGUAUCAGGGUGGUGCUGCUCCCGACAUGGGUGGUGGCAUGGAUGAAGAUGUUCCUCCAGCUGGUGGCAGUGGUGCUGGUCCCAAGAUCGAAGAAGUCGAUUAAGGAUUUGUGUUUUGAUUCAGUAAUUGUUUCUUCUCUGGAUAUUUAGGAUGUUUUUGUUUCCAACUAAGGUGGACUAUGGUUGUUUUGGGUGGUU
rnacentral:lncRNA from 1 species